GACGAACGCUGGCGGCGUGCUUAACACAUGCAAGUCGAACGGGAACCUUUAUUUCGGUAAAGGUGAGAGUGGCAAACGGGUGAGUAACACGUAGGCAACCUGCCGACAGGAUGGGGACAACAUUCCGAAAGGAAUGCUAAUACCGAAUGGAGUCCGAGGAUGGCAUCAUCCUUGGAUAAAAGAUGGCCUCUUAACAAUGCUAUCGCCUGUCGAUGGGCCUGCGUCUGAUUAGCCAGUUGGCGGGGUAACGGCCCACCAAAGCGUCGAUCAGUAGCCGGUCUGAGAGGAUGAACGGCCACAUUGGGACUGAGACACGGCCCAGACUCCUACGGGAGGCAGCAGUGGGGAAUCUUCCACAAUGGGCGAAAGCCUGAUGGAGCAACGCCGCGUGAGUGAAGAAGGUCUUUCGGAUCGUAAAAGCUCUGUUGCCACGGG
rnacentral:rRNA from 1 species